rnacentral:tRNA from 1 species
GCCCUAAUAGUAUAAAAACAUUACUUUGGUCUUGUAAACCAAAAAUGAAGCUAUGGACUUCUUAGAGCA